UGCAUAGAGCGGCGCUGCGCGUAGCGGCCAGGGGAGAGAAGAAGGAGGGCGGUGGCGGGGGUGAUGUGGCGGCCUCUUUGGGAGGCGCAGGGGCCGCAGCCAGCCAGACGCUGCAGCAGUGUGGGCAGCUCCAGAAGCUUGUGGGCAGCUCCAGAAGCUUAUCCGCAUCUCCAUUGGCAGCCUGCGCCGGUUGCGCAACAAGUGCGCUGUGUCCAAGGACCUCACCCAGCAGGAGAUACGGACCCUGGAG
rnacentral:lncRNA from 1 species